UUGCUUUCUCCUAAUUCUUAUCUCACAGAAGGAAAAUUAGCCUAAACAGUCUUCCUUGGACUCCGUGGGCAUCAUGCUGCUGGCAAUUCUGCCAGGGAACAUCAAAUGGCUCGGCCUCCAGCUGAUACCAUGGUGGCUUGGAAAUAGCCCCCUGGAAGCUCUUAUCAUCUUCAUGCCAGAUGUUUCACAGAAACUAAGCAGCUCAUGGAACUUCAGUGAGAAAGAGAAGGAGCUUCUGGUAUGUUCUGUUAAAGCAGAAUAGCAAAUAUCUCCUUAAAUACACAGUGUACCUGUGUACAAUUUAUAAUGGA